GACAGAGGUUGCAAACGUUGUUCGGAAUUACUGGGCAUAAAGCGCACGUAGGCGGUCCACUAAGUCAGGUGUGAAAUCCCCCGGCUCAACCGGGGAAUUGCGCCUGAUACUGGUGGGCUCGAGGUCGAUAGGGGUGAGCGGAACUCCAGGUGGAGCGGUGAAAUGCGUAGAUAUCUGGAGGAACACCGGUGGCGAAGGCGGCUCACUGGAUCGAAUCUGACGCUGAGGUGCGAAAGCUAAGGUAGCAAACGGG
rnacentral:rRNA from 1 species